rnacentral:rRNA from 1 species
AGAGUUUGAUCAUGGCUCAGGAUGAACGCUGGCGGCGUGCUUAACACAUGCAAGUCGAACGGGAAUGCUUCGCUGAUGCGAUUUCGGUCAAAUCUUGAAGCAUUUUAGUGGCGGACGGGUGAGUAACGCGUGGGUAACCUGCCCUGUACAGGGGGACAACAGUUGGAAACGACUGCUAAUACCGCAUAAGCGCACAGCUUCGCAUGAAGCAGUGUGAAAAACUCCGGUGGUACAGGAUGGACCCGCGUUUGAUUAGAUAGUUGGUGAGGUAACGGCCCACCAAGUCAACGAUCAGUAGCCGGCCUGAGAGGGCGAACGGCCACAUUGGGACUGAGACACGGCCCAGACUCCUACGGGAGGCAGCAGUGGGGAAUAUUGCACAAUGGGGGAAACCCUGAUGCAGCGACGUCGCGUGAGUGAAGAAGUAUUUCGGUAUGUAAAGCUCUAUCAGCAGGGAAGAAAACAAUGACGGUACCUGACUAAGAAGCCCCGGCUAACUACGUGCCAGCAGCCGCGGUAAUACGUAGGGGGCAAGCGUUAUCCGGAUUUACUGGGUGUAAAGGGAGCGUAGACGGUAGACCAAGUCUGAAGUGAAAUCCAUGGGCUCAACCCAUGAACUGCUUUCAAAACUGAUUGUCUUGAGUAGUGCAGAGGUAGGCGGAAUUCCCGGUGUAGCGGUGGAAUGCGUAGAUAUCGGGAGGAACACCAGUGGCGAAGGCGGCCUACUGGGCACCAACUGACGCUGAGGCUCGAAAGUGUGGGUAGCAAACAGGAUUAGAUACCCUGGUAGUCCACACCGUAAACGAUGAUUACUAGGUGUUGGAGGAUUGACCCCUUCAGUGCCGCAGUUAACACAAUAAGUAAUCCACCUGGGGAGUACGACCGCAAGGUUGAAACUCAAAGGAAUUGACGGGGGCCCGCACAAGCAGUGGAGUAUGUGGUUUAAUUCGACGCAACGCGAAGAACCUUACCAAGUCUUGACAUCCUGCGACGAUGCUAGAAAUAGUAUUUUCCUUCGGGACGCAGAGACAGGUGGUGCAUGGUUGUCGUCAGCUCGUGUCGUGAGAUGUUGGGUUAAGUCCCGCAACGAGCGCAACCCUUAUGGUCAGUUACUACGCAAGAGGACUCUGGCCAGACUGCCGUUGACAAAACGGAGGAAGGUGGGGAUGACGUCAAAUCAUCAUGCCCUUUAUGACUUGGGCUACACACGUACUACAAUGGCGUUAAACAAAGAGAAGCAAGACCGCGAGGUGGAGCAAAACUCAGAAACAACGUCCCAGUUCGGACUGCAGGCUGCAACUCGCCUGCACGAAGUCGGAAUUGCUAGUAAUCGCAGAUCAGCAUGCUGCGGUGAAUACGUUCCCGGGCCUUGUACACACCGCCCGUCACACCAUGAGAGCCGGGGGGACCCGAAGUCGGUAGUCUAACCGCAAGGAGGACGCCGCCGAAGGUAAAACUGGUGAUUGGGGUGAAGUCGUAACAAGGUA